UACGGAGGGUGCAAGCGUUGUCCGGAAUCACUGGGCGUAAAGGGCGUGUAGGUGGUUGCGUAAGUCUGGCGUGAAAUUUUUCGGCUUAACCGGGAAAGGUCGUCGGAUACUGCGUAACUAGAGGACGGUAGAGGCGUGUGGAAUUCCGGGUGUAGUGGUGAAAUGCGUAGAGAUCCGGAGGAACACCAGUGGCGAAGGCGACACGCUGGGCCGUACCUGACACUGAACCGCGACAGCAUGGGGAGCAAACAGG
rnacentral:rRNA from 1 species